GAUCCUGGCUCAGAUUGAACGCUGGCGGCAGGCUUAACACAUGCAAGUCGAACGGUAACGAUAAAGAAGCUUGCUUCUUUGAUGACGAGUGGCGGACGGGUGAGUAAUGCUUGGGAAUCUAGCUUAUGGAGGGGGAUAACGUACGGGAAACUGUAGCUAAUACCGCGUAGAAUCGGGAGAUGAAAGUGUGGGACCUUCGGGCCACAUGCCAUAGGAUGAGCCCAAGUGGGAGUUAGGUAGUUGGUGG
rnacentral:rRNA from 1 species